GGGAUGGGGCAGCUACACAUGCAGUCGAGCGGUAACAGAUCCAGCUUGCUGGAUGCUGACGAGCGGCGGACGGGUGAGUAAUGCAUAGGAAUCUGCCCGAUAGUGGGGGAUAACCUGGGGAAACCCAGGCUAAUACCGCAUACGUCCUACGGGAGAAAGGGGGCUUCGGCUCCCGCUAUCGGAUGAGCCUAUGUCGGAUUAGCUAGUUGGUGAGGUAACGGCUCACCAAGGCCACGAUCCGUAGCUGGUCUGAGAGGAUGAUCAGCCACAUCGGGACUGAGACACGGCCCGAACUCCUACGGGAGGCAGCAGUGGGGAAUAUUGGACAAUGGGGGGAACCCUGAUCCAGCCAUGCCGCGUGUGUGAAGAAGGCCCUCGGGUUGUAAAGCACUUUCAGCGAGGAAGAACGCCUAGCGGUUAAUACCCGCUAGGAAAGACAUCACUCGCAGAAGAAGCACCGGCUAACUCCGUGCCAGCAGCCGCGGUAAUACGGAGGGUGCAAGCGUUAAUCGGAAUUACUGGGCGUAAAGCGCGCGUAGGUGGCUUGAUAAGCCGGUUGUGAAAGCCCCGGGCUCAACCUGGGAACGGCAUCCGGAACUGUCAAGCUAGAGUGCAGGAGAGGAAGGUAGAAUUCCCGGUGUAGCGGUGAAAUGCGUAGAGAUCGGGAGGAAUACCAGUGGCGAAGGCGGCCUUCUGGACUGACACUGACACUGAGGUGCGAAAGCGUGGGUAGCAAACAGGAUUAGUCCCU
rnacentral:rRNA from 1 species